GUAAUAUGACAUUUAUUGAAAAAACAAAUGGGAUCAUAGCUGAGACUUUUGAAGGAGAAAUUAAGGGCCGCUAUGUAAAGGAUGCUUGAGGGUUAAAAUAAACGUAAUGAACAAAUAAAUUUAAUUACAUCUAAUUAAUUUCAAUAUUUUGAUGUUUUUAAUAUCACAGCUGCAGUGACUGCUAGAAUCUAGAAGUGCUUCUCUCGUUACUGCAUCCAGUAUUAGAGUACAAUCAGGAUAAAGACACGAGUCUCUCAGAGAAUUCAGACAAAGGAAUAUUGAAUGUAACUUCUACAGGGAUAUAGAAAUGUAUAGAAAAAUAUGAGGUGGCAAGAAUGGCCUUUUAUCUCACACUCGAGGUUAAAGACUCACCAGUAUGUGACAGUGACGUGAUAUACAGCCAAGUGUGGUGACCCAUACUCAGAAUUUGUGCUCUGCAUUUAACCCAUCCAAAGUGCACACACACACACACACACACACACAAAGUGAUGUCUAUUUUCCAAAUACACCUGCCCUCUCAACCUCCCCACAAUCUUAAACACCAGAGUAAUAUGUCAUAGUUACUGUAUACUGCAAUGUUACUCUUAAUAUUUUAACAUUAUUGCAUGUACAAUACUACAAAAGGUUUGAAGAAUGAUAAUGAUAAACUAGUUCAGUAUUGUGAAUCAUGUGAGUAGAGUGCAUUUCUAUUAGUUUCUUAGCUUGUGCUUGUGCUGGCAAGUUAAAAUCUCUAUAGUGCAGAUCCUGUUUAUAGAAAAAGUAGUACUCAUACAAACACACUCCAACACUAAAACUUAAACACAGUCUCAGAGAUCAUUCAUGUUCUUCACUCUCUGCAGGCUGAUUAACUGCAGUAUUGGAGAGGAAGGCUGUGCUGCUCUGAUUUCAGCUCUGAGAUCGAACCCCUCACACCUGACAGAACUGGAUCUGAGAUAUAAUAAACCAGGAGACUCAGGGGUGAAGCUGCUCUCUGCUCUACUGGAGGAUCCACACUGCAAACUGAAGAAACUACUUAUUUGACAGUGGAAACUCCACAAGCUCCAAACAACUGAAUCAAAACCACACGUCUUGAACAAGUCCGUCACCUGGACAUUAAAAUGCAUAAUUUCAGUUAGGGUGAAGAAAAGCUUUUUGUUUUUCUUCUAAGGCCACAAGAGGGCGCAUCGAGCAAAAUAUUACUAAUACACGUUUAUUCAAAGCAUAAGAAAACAUGACUGUAACCCACCAUAAAUUCUUGAGAUAUGUUUUUAAAAUGUUGAACUUAGAUUAAUUUUACAUGGCUAUCUAAACACGUGGCUCUGUUGUGCAAUAUCCUGAUAAUUCACCUCCAGAGGACGAGAGAAGCUGUUGUUGAGAUCAGAAACACUGACGGAUGAGAUUCAACUCUUUCCUUCGUACCAGCAGAGAGUUGUCUCUGUCUCAUUCAUCACUGAACACAGCAGGAUGAACACAUUUCCAGCUCCAUGAUUGUUCAGAGUCUCUGACAAUAGUGAGAAUGGACAGAGGAGCUGGAAACACAUGAGAAUAAACAGAAAUAUUACUGAGAGGAAGAUCAAGAUGAAAUACAGGUGGUAAAGUGUGUCUAUGCAGCAGCAAAUCUGAAUGUAGAGUUUAAUAAUGAACUGAAUACAACAAUACUAGUAAAUAUAUCAGUGUCUAAUAAACAUUUGCAGUCAGAACUACAUAAGAUGUGUUUCUAGCAGAGUAGUUUAAUAUGAUGUGGACUUAAACAGAUUGUGCUUUUGAGUGAAAACUAUCAUCCAGAAUGAUCUUUAUCCCGCGUUUAGAUGAACGCGAUCACACACUUAAGCGAGGAUUGCUACGUUGGAUUCCUGUGUUGUCACAGGUUCCCUUGGACGAAGAGAAUACCAAACAGAUAUCACACAAAGCAUGCAAGAGAAAUGGGCCCAAAAGCUGUACUUUCCUGUUUUGGAUACUCUUUUGGUAUAAGCUUUCCAACUGAAGAUCCAUGGGAUGAACCUUUGAGCUGUUUCAGAGAAAUGGUUUUUCAUUGGUUUAUCAUCUACAUUCUCUUCAUUAGUAAAGAUUUAUUUGCACAAGUCAUGCCAAAUUGACACAAAAAGUCUAAUAAUAAUGUGUAAAAAUAAAAAGUGUGCUUGGCAGUUUAUGACAACUAGAUUAACCAUUUUGC